rnacentral:rRNA from 1 species
UACAGAGGGUGCGAGCGUUGUUCGGAAUUAUUGGGCGUAAAGCGCGAGUAGGCGGCUCUUUAAGUCUCCUGUGAAAGCCCCAGGCUCAACCUGGGAAGUGCGGGAGAAACUGGAGAGCUUGAGUGCCAGAGAGGGUGGCGGAAUUCCCGGUGUAGAGGUGAAAUUCGUAGAUAUCGGGAGGAACACCAGAGGCGAAGGCGGCCACCUGGAGGGUAACUGACGCUGAGACGCGAAAGCGUGGGGAGCAAACAGGAUUAGAUA